UACAGAGGGUGCUAGCGUUAAUCGGAAUUACUGGGCGUAAAGCGUGCGCAGGCGGUUUCUUAAGUCAGAUGUGAAAGCCCCGGGCUUAACCUGGGAACUGCGUUUGAAACUGGGAGACUUGAGUGUGGCAGAGGGGGGUGGAAUUCCACGUGUAGCAGUGAAAUGCGUAGAUAUGUGGAGGAACACCGAUGGCGAAGGCAGCCCCCUGGGUUAACACUGACGCUCAUGCACGAAAGCGUGGGGAGCAAACAGG
rnacentral:rRNA from 1 species